GCCAGUGUUGAUAGCAACGUAGAAUACAUCAGUUCCCACUUGACCACUGAAGUUAAGCAACGUUACGCUUGGUUGGUAUCAGGAUGGAUGACCAUUAGGGUAAUUGUGCGUUGGCU
rfam:Asian citrus Psyllid, Diaphorina citri - Florida Strain, whole genome shotgun sequence.